rnacentral:rRNA from 1 species
AACGAACGCUGGCGGCAGGCCUAACACAUGCAAGUCGAACGAAGUCUUCGGACUUAGUGGCGGACGGGUGAGUAACACGUGGGAACGUACCUUUUGGUUCGGAACAACUCAGGGAAACUUGAGCUAAUACCGGAUGAGCCCUUAGGGGGAAAGAUUUAUCGCCGAAAGAGCGGCCCGCGUUAGAUUAGCUAGUUGGUGAGGUAAAGGCUCACCAAGGCUACGAUCUAUAGCUGGUCUGAGAGGAUGAUCAGCCACACUGGGACUGAGACACGGCCCAGACUCCUACGGGAGGCAGCAGUGGGGAAUCUUGCGCAAUGGGCGAAAGCCUGACGCAGCCAUGCCGCGUGAAUGAUGAAGGUCUUAGGAUUGUAAAAUUCUUUUACCAGGGACGAUAAUGACGGUACCUGGAGAAAAAGCCCCGGCUAACUUCGUGCCAGCAGCCGCAGUAAGAC